CAGCAGUAGCCGCGGUAAUACGAAGGGUGCAAGCGUUACUCGGAAUUACUGGGCGUAAAGCGUGCGUAGGUGGUGGUUUAAGUCCGUUGUGAAAGCCCUGGGCUCAACCUGGGAAUUGCAGUGGAUACUGGGUCACUAGAGUGUGGUAGAGGAUAGUGGAAUUUCCGGUGUAGCAGUGAAAUGCGUAGAGAUCGGAAGGAACAUCUGUGGCGAAGGCGACUAUCUGGGCCAACACUGACACUGAGGCACGAAAGCGUGGGGAGCAAACAGGAUUAGAUACCCGGGUAGUCCCUGUCUCUUAUAC
rnacentral:rRNA from 1 species